AACGUCGUAAGGGGGUGGCAGAAGGGAGGAGGAAUAUCGAGGAUCAGGCCAGAACAAAGUCCUUUGAGAGGAGCGGAAUAAAUUUGCAUCGAUUACGAUAAAGUUGCGCGAGAGUGCAUCGCUUAUUGCGCCAGGCUCCACUCUCUCUCUGCUUUGCGACAUUGUGCAAAAUAAAACGCAACAAGAAACGCCAGCCUGCUCGAGCGAAAAAGGCGUCCACCGAUAUUGUUGCUGCAACAAUGUCUGAUCCUAUCAGCGAGGUGUGACUGUCGUGAAAAAUGGCUCGUUCUUCGUCCACCAACGGAACUCGUUUGGUCGCUGACGAUCCAAAGGAGGCGGCCUGUGGAUGGGGUUGGAACUCGGCCUCGUCGGCGUGACGCUAUUCCGGGAAUGUGGGAAUCACCGCGGCUGUGAUUCAGUUCAUAUUACCCACGUUUCGCGAAGAAGAGGACGGAGCAGAAGAUUUUCGCAUUCGAUUUUCGAGUUACGAAUGGCUGAGCAUUGCUUUAGCCCUGUUGCGUUAUUUCCGUUAUCUUCCACUCGAUCGUAUUUCUCUGUCACUAACAGAUUUCUCAAGCUCCAGAGGAAACACCGAUCCUUAUUUUUCCAUCACUGACAAGUUUCCUCGAUCGCAGAGGAAAACGAAGCAAACGCGCCGGAGAUUUUGUAAAUCAUCGGUCUUUCCGAUCGUCGAAACAAGAGCGAAAUUCAAAUGUAAAAGCUCGAGGACUCGCAGCAGGGCUAACGGUAGAAGCAUGGAAGAUCAGGUGUUUUAUUUUUCAAAAAAUUUAAAAGCGUUUUUGAGCAUAUCAGAGUUCAUUUGAUAUAUUAUACUUGCCUAUUUCGUUGUAUUAAUUUUAAUUUGAUUAAUUGUGCAUGACACGCUUAGGUAUACGCAUAUUGCAAGUUGCCAGUUCCAGUGUUAAGGCAUCUUUGUAUCGGGUCGUCGGAAAAGUUUCUUUCGUUUUAUAAGGAAAUAAUGGAUGCACGUUUUCCGUUUUAUAUUAUUUUAUCGAAUUACGUAUGAUCCAUUUUGUUCCAUCAAACUAAAGGUCACAUCGUUCGACAGAUUAGGUUUCACGUUUGUAUAAAGAUGCAUCGUUGUAAAAGACGCGUCUGACACUUUCCGGACAACCUAAUAGUUGGAGAAUUUUCUUACCUCGACUUGAGUGUUUUGGGAAGAGAAGAAUAAUGUUAUAAAUACCAAUAAAUAUAUUCGUCCGCAGUAACCGUUUUCUUUUUCCUUAUUCUCUGUUAAUAGAAAUAAAGUGGAAUAACAAGGUGCAAAUUGUCGACGUGAAAAUAACGUAAAGUGGGAUUGAAGAAAAUUUGCGUCCAUAUUCGUCGAAGAAGAUUUGCUGCGAAGAGAUGCCAAUCGAUGGCAGGUUUUACUUGUAAGACAAAUUUUUUUGAUGUUUAACAGCGUAGGAUGGGUGGAAGUAAAGUGCCUUUGGAAAGAGACGUACAACAUAUGGAGAUAUCGUGGUGAACACACCUGUGACGAGUUGUAUCACGCAACGCCCAUUACUGUCGCGGAAGGUUCCACGUCGAAAACGAGUCUCUUAUUCUGCUGACAGUCGACGCCUUCUAAUCGCAUCCAUUACAGAUAUGUACAGUCGAUUGAUAUCUCUUUGAGCCUCUUCCACACCUUUCAUUUCAGCUACAAGAUAAUUCUAUACUUUAAUAGUACAGUUCAGUAGCGACGUUUUCCAAUAAAAUCGACGAAUGGAAUUAAAUUAAUAAAUUAAUACUAGUUUUAAUAUUCUUCUUAAUAUUCAUAAAUCGAAGAAACAAAUUUAGCAAGCUUUUCUCUUAUGUUUGAUAAAUAUUUCACAUUAAGCUUGUCAACUUGUAUUACUCGAUAUUGAUGUUAUCCAUGUGGAAUGGCAAGAAAUUGAAAGGUGGAAAUAGAAGAAGCGUUCAAAAUUACCAUCCUACUGUGUUUGAUGGUCGUUUUGUACCAACUUUUUCAAUGUCGAUAUUCUUCCUUAAAGAAAUGUCGAAGUCGAUUAAAAGAUACGAUAGAAAUCAACUCUACGUCAUAGUUUCGCAUCAAUCUCGUCGAUCUUCAUCAUUUCACAAAUAUUUCCUAUGAAAAAAAAAUCCUCGAAGCCCGCAAAUAACGUAACAAUCUGCACUUUUCUUACAGAUUUCAAAAUUCUCGAGGAAUGAUGUUCGAAAGUCAUCGAAGAAAAUCAUUCAAGAAAUCUCAAAAACCGCUGAAAACUAUAAAAAUAGCUUCGCGUCAAUCUCGUCAACGUUCUCUACUCCGCCAAUAUCCCCUUUAAAAAGUAGCCCACGAAGUCCACGAAUGAUUCGAGAAACUUUUCUCCUCUGCUCGCGAAUACCAAAAUUCUUAAACCGAAGAAAAUUCCAAUUGAGCUUUCGCGCCACCUCAGGAAAUCCCCGAACCACCGAAAGCUAUAAAAAUCAUGCCGCUUCGUGUCCAACGAUAGUUUCACUAGGUCGAUCACGUCGACCUUCGCCACUUCGCCAAUAUCCCCUUUAAAAAGCAACUCACAAAGCUCUAGAAUCAUUCGAGAAACUUUCCCCUUCUACCGGCAAAUCCCGAAAUUUUCAAACGUACGUUUCAGAUCGAUAAACGCUAAAAAUCCGCGAACAAAAGAGAACAAAAAAAAAAAAAAAAGAAAAUAGAGUGCGAAAAUCAUCGGAGAAGAUUCCAAUUCCACUUUGCUUUACCUCGAAAAAUCGCUGGAAAAACUAUAAAAAUCACCUCCGCUGUACGUUCGAUUGUUCGUGCUAAGCUCGUCAACGUUCGCCACGAAACACCAUGUACCCGCGGCAAGCAUCCCUCUUUGUCUCUCGAUGCAGAGUCAAAAGGGCGAUCGUGGAAACUGGCCACGUUCCUGGAGCGCAAAGGCUGCCAGUUACACGGCGGGUCGACGAGGCUGGCGUUAAAUUCAGCCGUCAGAGAGCUUUCAGCAGGGUUCAGCAACAGCGUCAGCAACUCUGUUCCCUCGGCUCGUCCGGCAACGCGUCCACCCGCCCUCUCGCGUCAUAUACGUGUCUUUGUGUGUACGCGCGUAUAUCCGCAUGCUGUGUACGUGUGUGCAUCGCGAGCUGCUAGCCGACCAACUCGUCACGCAUAUGCUGCAACGACCUUUUGCAUCAAAAGCUUUGUUUAUGGGCCGAGGAGAUUUAUAGGCCGCGCGACGAUGUACGCGGCCGGUAUGCGUCGUGGUUUGUUAGAUCUUGGUUCUCGAAAUACGACCGUGGCGGAAGGAGGUUUGAACCGCGGCGUGGAAUCGCGACAGGUAGUCCACAGGGUUCAGACUUCGCGUGGAAAAAAUUCCAUGUGAGUUUCAGGCGAAGGGAAGCCUGGAUUUUUGACGCGACUGUUUCUGAUUUCGAGUCGACGAAUGACAAAUCGAUCGUUUGCGUGUAAUACUUUUACUGGUAAGGUUCGUGACGGGAUUCAGAUUUUACGAGGAGAAAUUUAGGAUAAAUUUCCAAGCGAAAGAAGGAAGCUUCAAUUAAUUUGGAAUUGAUGAAUGACAAAUUCAUGGAUUUUGGUUUGAGCCUCAUACUGCUACGCGCAUCCGCGAGGAAGAAAAGCCAGAUGAGUUUCGAAAGAGGAACAGUUGAAAUUCUCGACGUGAUUUUUCUCCAAUUGAUGAAUUGCCAUUCACUUUCGCCAUCAUGCACACUGUGAUCCUAGUUUCGUGUGUCUAAAUUAUGUCGAUAGCUUGGUUCUUGAGAAGUGCAUGUAGCAACGUGUAUUUGACUAAUUCUCGUUUGUAGUUUAUUCUAAAAUUUAGCGAUGCAAAAUUUUAUUUACGCGACAGAAUUUCAUAUAAUAUCGUGUUUUCAUAGGUAUAACAUUUCAGGGAAUUGUAUCAAUUUCUAGUAGCAGGUAAAUAUUUUCACGGUGGAACUAAUUAGUUUCGCUCGCUGCUUGUCUUCGUUUCUCAAUACACCGCAGGUAAUGCGCACCACAAAUGCAAACUGCUUCCAAAGAUCAGCUCAAAGCAACAUCAGGUCUUAUCCUAUCGUAUCCGUACUACUCACGAAAUCAAAGUAAUUUUACCCUGCCGAGUCUCGAUGCUUCUCUCGCGGUUUCAUAUACACCUUGCAACUAAUUAAUAUGGCAAGAAUCCGCCGUCUUUUAUUACCUUCUUUAAUCACGUUUGGAACUCAAGAACCGCAGAAUAUAUUUAUCAGUUGCAGGAAUUAUUAAUUUCGUGAACAGCAGCUCGCGUAGCAAACUUCGAUAUUUCUCUCCUUUUACGCAAUCGUAAACAAGGUUUCUGUCGCGUUCGCCGACGAACACGCUGUCAUCGAUUCCAGAACUGUGUAAUGUAACUGUUCAAUCAAGAAUUCCCAAUGUUCUUCUAUUUAAUUCGGAAAUUUAUAUCAAACGCAAAACAAUGUUCAUUCUCUCUUUAUUUGCAAGUUAAACAGCUUCAAAAUCGAUACUAAAUGCUAAAUCGAUUUUCAUUUUUCCAUGAUCGACACGAAGUUCACCGUGAGAAGCCAACGGCUUUGUAUGAUUUUCUUUCGUUUUUUAUCAUCGCUAGGAAGUCUUACGUAACGCAAGAGUAUCGAUUAUUUUACGAUCACGAACGCCACUGUCAAGAAGCUCUAAUUCUAGCGGCUUCGUAGCUUCACCGAGUCAACGAUGCCAAGAAAUAAAUUAAAUCGAAAAUCAAUUUCACACCGAGGCUCGUCCAACUCGAUUUAUAUUUUCGCAGUUAAAAAUCGAGCGAAAGUAAUUGUAGAAGCGUGGUAAUCGUUCGAGUGGUCGCGAUAUCGCGCGAAAUUCGACGCAAUGUUGCGCAACAUUUGGUUGGAGGCGGACGAAUCGUCAGGUGGAUCGCGAUAAAUAAAGUCGCGAGAGCGCAAGAAGCCGAGGAGGCCAGCGAACCGAGCGACGGAGGAAACACUUUCAAAGGAAAUGCACACCAGCGGACAGAGAUUUACGGGGAUGAUAGAGCGGCCCGUUUUUAUCGCACCGCCAAGACCAACAAAACGUUCGAUAUCCGCUCGGUGACCGGUCGAUGCGCGUUUCGCGAGUCGCUUGCGAGAUCGUUCUGUCGUCUCACCGACCCUUCCCAGUCCCUGUCUUUUCAUUUCGUCAUUAAUCCUUCUUCGAUCGUAUUUUAUAUUUUCAAUAUAUUCUAUCGAGUACAAUCUUUUAUCCAAAUGAUAUCGUUAACGCGUUACGGACCUACGUUACCUAAUGGUGCAAAGUGUUUCACGGGAUCGCGAGAAUUAAAAGGAAAGUUAUCUGAAAAUCCUGUUUACGAAAUUUCGUCGAAAAUCGAUAGAUUUGGAGAAACAAUGGUGUUUUAUUUCAAAAUGCAAUGUUUUAUUCGAAUAGCGUUAUUAACGCAUUAUAAAUGCACCUGGUGCGAUGCGAAGGUUCAAAAUUUGUUUUAGAAAGGUUAUAUGAAAAUCCUGUUCCUCGGAAUUCGCCAGAAUUCGAUAGAAUUUGAGAAAGCUGUUAUUCACCGACUGUAAUUGUAAUUAUAAUCGCACUGUUUGGCAAUUAUAAAAUGUACUAUUCCUUGGAUCUACUUUAUAAAUAAAUCAUUAACGAUUAGA